rnacentral:rRNA from 1 species
GGGCUUGCUGCUUUGCUGACGAGUGGCGGACGGGUGAGUAAUGUCUGGGAAACUGCCUGAUGGAGGGGGAUAACUACUGGAAACGGUAGCUAAUACCGCAUAACGUCGCAAGACCAAAGAGGGGGACCUUCGGGCCUCUUGCCAUCGGAUGUGCCCAGAUGGGAUUAGCUUGUUGGUGGGGUAACGGCUCACCAAGGCGACGAUCCCUAGCUGGUCUGAGAGGAUGACCAGCCACACUGGAACUGAGACACGGUCCAGACUCCUACGGGAGGCAGCAGUGGGGAAUAUUGCACAAUGGGCGCAAGCCUGAUGCAGCCAUGCCGCGUGUAUGAAGAAGGCCUUCGGGUUGUAAAGUACUUUCAGCGGGGAGGAAGGGAGUAAAGUUAAUACCUUUGCUCAUUGACGUUACCCGCAGAAGAAGCACCGGCUAACUCCGUGCCAGCAGCCGCGGUAAUACGGAGGGUGCAAGCGUUAAUCGGAAUUACUGGGCGUAAAGCGCACGCAGGCGGUUUGUUAAGUCAGAUGUGAAAUCCCCGGGCUCAACCUGGGAACUGCAUCUGAUACUGGCAAGCUUGAGUCUCGUAGAGGGGGGUAGAAUUCCAGGUGUAGCGGUGAAAUGCGUAGAGAUCUGGAGGAAUACCGGUGGCGAAGGCGGCCCCCUGGACGAAGACUGACGCUCAGGUGCGAAAGCGUGGGGAGCAAACAGGAUUAGAUACCCUGGUAGUCCACGCCGUAAACGAUGUCGACUUGGAGGUUGUGCCCUUGAGGCGUGGCUUCCGGAGCUAACGCGUUAAGUCGACCGCCUGGGGAGUACGGCCGCAAGGUUAAAACUCAAAUGAAUUGACGGGGGCCCGCACAAGCGGUGGAGCAUGUGGUUUAAUUCGAUGCAACGCGAAGAACCUUACCUGGUCUUGACAUCCACAGAAAUUUUCAGAGAUGGAAUUGUGCCUUCGGGAACUGUGAGACAGGUGCUGCAUGGCUGUCGUCAGCUCGUGUUGUGAAAUGUUGGGUUAAGUCCCGCAACGAGCGCAACCCUUAUCCUUUGUUGCCAGCGGUCCGGCCGGGAACUCAAAGGAGAAUGCCAGUGAUAAAAUGGAGGAAGGGGGGGAUG